rnacentral:lncRNA from 1 species
UACUUCAAUACCCAUUGUUCUUUAUAGAUAAAAUCUUUAGAUAAAUGGGCAAAAGUAGAUUGGCUAGUCUCGUUUUGUGGCCUUUGUUACUCGAGCAAUUAAGUCCGUCGGGGGAUUUCAAAACCUAGUGCCCUAAGACCGUUUGGUUUGGGAGUCACUGACCUAAAGCUCGCUACAUGGGUAACAUUGUUUGCCUAAGAAAACGGACAAAAUAAAGUCA